rnacentral:lncRNA from 1 species
GAGUGGGCGUGUGACUUCCUGGGAGGGAAGGAUGCGCAGAAUUUGGGGUGGUUAGAUUGUGGAAGAUUGCGACCCCCCGGCCCGGACAGGGUGAAUUUAGAGGUCGAAAGACGACCUUCCUCUUCACCAUCUUUCUGACCUCCGAUUGGAGUUCCUCUGGCCGCUUCACCGCAGGCUCUGGCUUCCUUUUCUCCAGGUAUAGAUCUGGUUACUAAAGCUGUCACCACUGAGGUUUCUACAGGACUGGGGCGACCCUGGCUUGGCUAGAUUUGUGCUUUUACGGGACAAUUUCUGGAGGCUUACCAUAGGCUAAUUCUUUGCCUGCUUCCCUUCCAGCACUUUCCAGGGCAGGGUGAUUUAAAUACCCCGAAGUUUGGUUUUCUCUGAUUUUGGCUUGCCAAUAACCGCAUCCGUACUGGCCAACCCAAUGUGAAAGUGGAAUUUUGGGUGAAAUUCUUCCAACGGAGGCAUAAAAUUUUACUAUUUUCAUCACCGCAGGAAUAGAUGUAUGCCCACAGAAGUGGGAUACACGGUGCACAGAUGUGUCUAGGUUAGAGAUUACUGACGUAAGUUUUCUCUUUAUGAAAACAAAUCUCAUCUUGAAAUUCAUCAAGCCAAGGGAAAAAAAGUCAGAGAGAAUGAAUUUUUUCCUUGAGCAAAGUUCAACUCAGUUUAAUCAUUUAAAAGAAAACACGUUUUACUCCUGCCCAAGUAGAGUCUAGUCAUGUGACUCCGAGUUUAAAUAUAGCCAGCGCUCCUGUGUUCUCCAGAGCAGCCAAAUUUUUCUCGAUACUCUUGAUUUCAACUGUUUCCCCAGACUUGUCUCCGUGGCUGUGCUUGCACAGGAGUCUUGCCAAAGCCUGCGUUCUCUCUGAGCUCACACAUAAUGUCAGCCACAUUUGGAGUCCUGGCUUCCAGGAGUCUGGAAGGGCUAGACAGAGGGAGGCAUUGCACUGCAGGCCUGUCAUCCCAGCACUCGUGGAGCAUAGGCAGGUGAUUAGGAGGUCCAGGUCACCUCCGGGAAUGCUUUCUUAGCAAGUUUGAGAGGAUAGUCUGGGCUGCAGGAGACCAGCCAUCUAAAAACAAAACCCACACUAAUACCGAGCGCACAGGCAGCCUCCAAGAUCCUUUCUAAGGGUAGACAAGAGUCUGCCCAGAGCGAGUUAGUCUCAAGAAUCUCAAAAAA